UGCAAGUCGAGCGGACUUGCUGGAGCUUGCUCCAGCAGGUUAGCGGCGGACGGGUGAGUAACACGUGGGCAACCUGCCUGUAAGACUGGGAUAACUCCGGGAAACCGGAGCUAAUACCGGAUAGUAUCUUGAACCGCAUGGUUCAAGUUGGAAAGACGGUUUCGGCUGUCACUUACAGAUGGGCCCGCGGCGCAUUAGCUAGUUGGUGAGGUAAUGGCUCACCAAGGCAACGAUGCGUAGCCGACCUGAGAGGGUGAUCGGCCACACUGGGACUGAGACACGGCCCAGACUCCUACGGGAGGCAGCAGUAGGGAAUCUUCCGCAAUGGACGAAAGUCUGACGGAGCAACGCCGCGUGAGUGAUGAAGGUUUUCGGAUCGUAAAACUCUGUUGUUAGGGAAGAACAAGUGCGAGAGUAACUGCUCGCACCUUGACGGUACCUAACCAGAAAGCCACGGCUAACUACGUGCCAGCAGCCGCGGUAAUACGUAGGUGGCAAGCGUUGUCCGGAAUUAUUGGGCGUAAAGCGCGCGCAGGCGGUUUCUUAAGUCUGAUGUGAAAGCCCCCGGCUCAACCGGGGAGGGUCAUUGGAAACUGGGAAACUUGAGUGCAGAAGAGGAGAGUGGAAUUCCACGUGUAGCGGUGAAAUGCGUAGAGAUGUGGAGGAACACCAGUGGCGAAGGCGACUCUCUGGUCUGUAACUGACGCUGAGGCGCGAAAGCGUGGGGAGCAAACAGGAUUAGAUANCNCUGGUAGUCCACGCCGUAAACGAUGAGUGCUAAGU
rnacentral:rRNA from 1 species